GUAUGGAUUCGGUGGUUGUUGCCAUCUUCUGCGUUUUAGGCCUCAACAAGAAGAUGAGUCAUGGGGAACGGUAACAGAAAGGUAGAAAGAACGAAGCCAUGGAUUUAUUCACUGCUAUCAUGGGUAACGGUUUAGCAGAUGAUCUUGCUGAUCCUCUUAUAUCCAUGAGGGACAAUUAUCUCCUUUUUCUUCCAUCAUUUGCCUUUAUACCAGUCCCUGCGAAUGUUAAACCUGCAAGAAGUGACAUUCAUCACACUUCCACUACAUCUACAUGACUCUGCAGGUACAUUUUUCAUCUUAAAUAUCAUCUCAAUCCUUCAUGGCCAAUUGGUCAUACAUCGAACUUCUCCAAUUUUAUCAAGUUAACUUUGUUUAUAAACGAAAAGGUUAGUUUAUAUUUACCAAUAGAUGAUACUGAUUAUAUGUUUGUAAUACUUGGGGCUGUAGAUUUUUUUCUUCACAUAUUCUUCUCUAUAUAGAUCCGUUUGAUGCUCUAUAAGUUUAUAUAUUUAACUACAUGCCAACGGAGGAAAGUUUCACCCAUUUUUUCUCAGUUGAUCACAUCUUCAAACCAUUUGUUGAUUAGGGGGAUAGGAGUGAAUAUAAAUGUGUGGUUUGCCAGGAUGACUUGAUUAGUUCACAACGCAAACCUGCUAUGAACAGAUUGGAUUGGAAAUGUGCAUUAUGGUACUUCAACUAUUUAGAUCUCAAGUAAUAUUAUUCUGCGCUGCUGCACAGCCCAUAAUUACUGUGUAUCAAUUUGAAAGUCUAUAAAAAAAUUAUAUCCGUAACUGCUCUGACUAUACACAAACUGAAACUUCAGAAUAUUUUAGUCGUUUAGGUCCAUACACGUAUGCAUCAACUAGAUAGUAUUAUGAAAUUUCAUGUGAGGUAUGGAAGAAACGAGUUUACUAUCCUACAUAAUAUCUUUUCUAAGUAUGAAUGUAUUUAGCCAGCAUAACACAAACCUCUCUUUCAAACGGUUACAGUCAUUUGGAACAUCUGACUGUCUAUUUGAUACCAGCAGAAGCAUUUAGGCCUGAUAGUAAUGUUGGGGUCUUCUGUUAUUGUGGGAUUGUUAUGUUCUUUUUCUGUAAGUUAAAUAUAGUUGAAGAAAGGUAUAGGAAAUUUAUGCAUUGAUACUACAUGGGCAUGACCAAUAGAUGCCCGUACAGAUGGCACGCUAAGGAGUAUUUGUACCAUUUAGACAGAAUUAACUUUGUCUUACUCCGACUUACAAUAAGCUCUGCUUAGAGAUCUUGAUUUUUUUCGGUCAUGAGAAAUAAUUUUUCUGUCAUGAGAUAUAAAUAUUUCAAUUUAAAUGCGGAGAAGAUUUAUCAGUUUACCAGCUUGGCCGAGCUACUGAAAAUGUUGCAAACUGGGUUACUGGCUUCCCGGAAAUAAUUCAGAGGCAAGAUGCAAGCACAAGUAUCAGUUUCUUCGUUCCUCAUACUCUCUUGGGCUGGCAUCAUAGAGAGGGUAGCUGGAGGUUGUUUUAACUUGGUAUCGACUGCCGCAAUCAGCCUUGAUGUAACAGAUGGGGACGGUGCACGACCUGGAGACAGGAAACGUGAUAUAUCAGAAAGUAAUUGACUGUUCAUGGUAAAUCUCGCUGCACCCUGCAUGUACAGAACAUUACUCCCACGACCAUGCAAGGAGAAGAUGAGCCCAAUGCAGCACCUUCCCCUGCCGCUCACCAUGCCUUCCAGUAAGGACAAAAAUCUGCGCCUGUCCUCGCUUCCCCGUCCCAAACUGCAAUUCCGGCCAUUGAUCACUGGAGCACCCAUCUUACCUAAUCUGCUAAGUAAUAAGUACCAGCGUACAUCAGUACCAUCUCAAAAAAAAAAGCGUACAUCAGUACCAUUAGCUGAUCUGCCAGUUAGGUAGCUCUAUGUAAUGAAGUAGCAAUGUAAGUUAUAGCCCUAGCUCAUAUAACGGUUAUGUCACACGAUCCUACUAGCUAUGUAAUCCUGUAGGAAAAUAUAUAAGGACGAACAGCUAAUUCGUGUACUCUUCCCACAUGUAUAACUUCUUAAUCACGUCAUGUAACUAUACGCAAUGUGUUGUAUCUAUAUAAGGACCCACUUUUCAGAUUUCAGAACAUAGUUAUGUUAAGAUUGAGCGGGAAUGUUAAGAUAGUUAGGCAAGAAUCCUAACCAUCCUUUCCUAACUAUAUAUUCAGGAACAGAAAAUUGACAUAUAAGGAGACACUUUUCAGAUCGCCGCAUGAAGAGUUGUUGAAUAGCCUGAUGAUAUGAUAAUUGUAUAGAGGAGACUGCUUUGCUCAUACUUCAUACUGUAUUCAGGUUAACAUACAACUGAACAGUCAAUAUAUUGGGUGGUAUAUUGGGUGAAUCUUUUUAUGUCCAGCCAUUUCGAUACUUUGAUCAUAAGCAU